rnacentral:rRNA from 1 species
UACGUAGGGUGCAAGCGUUGUCCGGAAUUAUUGGGCGUAAAGAGCUCGUAGGUGGCCUGUCGCGUCGGCUGUGAAAACUCGGGGCUCAACUCCGAGCUUGCAGUCGAUACGGGCAGGCUAGAGUUCGGCAGGGGAGACUGGAAUUCCUGGUGUAGCGGUGAAAUGCGCAGAUAUCAGGAGGAACACCGGUGGCGAAGGCGGGUCUCUGGGCCGAUACUGACACUGAGGAGCGAAAGCGUGGGGAGCGAAUGGG